UUAGUUCUUACUGGGAGACUGAAGAGCUGAAAGUUGAAACGAAUGCACUAUGGACCAUAAAUCACUACAAGAAGAUAUAAUCUGCUAAAAAGCAUAAAAAUCACUUCACACUGCUUAUCGCCUAAGCUAACUUCCACAGACGCAUAGCAUAGUGAGAGAGAGCCCAACAGAAAUGGCCCCAAAGAACUCUUCCUUCAAGAUAAUCUUGGGUUCGUCUUCAUUUGCUCGCCGGAAAAUUUUGGCUGAGAUGGGGUACGAAUUCACGGUCAUGAUUGCUGAUAUAGAUGAACAAAGCAUAAGGAAGGAAAAGGCAGAGGAACUGGUAGUAGCUCUAGCUGAAGCCAAGGCAGAUGCUAUCAUUGAAAGGCUCAAGAGUACUGGUGAAAUGAAGGAAAUUCUCGGACCUACACUGUUAAUUACUGCUGACACUGUGGCGGUUUAUGAAGGAGUCAUCAGAGAAAAGCCAUCAGGCAAGGAAGAAGCACGCAUGUUCAUCAAAGGGUAUUCCGGUGGUCAAGCUUCUGUAGUGGGAUCUGUUGUAGUAACCAACCUCACGACUGGCAAAAGAAAAACGGGGUGGGAAUUGUCUGAGAAAAUGGAUGCGCUAUUAACAGAAGUGCUAGUUCUGAGUUUUCAUGAUCAAAUGUUUCCUUGCCUCCUGCACGAGCUGUCAUUUUAUGUAUUAUUACAUGGUUGUCGUUCCGUAAUCUUAGAUUUUCGCAACUUCACAACAUUAUUGCAUCUCGAAGAUGAACGUUUGCCACAUAUCUAUAACUGUAGGUCUAUUUCCACGAGAUACCAGAUGAGGUGAUUGAUGACCUGGUAGAUUGAGGAGGGAAUAAUACUCAACGUGGCUGGCGGUCUAAUGCUUGAACAUCCAUUGACAUUGCCCUUUGUUGACACAGUGGUUGGAACUGCAGAUCAU